AGCGAACGCUGGCGGCAGGCCUAACACAUGCAAGUCGAACGAACCCUUCGGGGUUAGUGGUGGACGGGUGAGUAACACGUGGGAACGUGCCUUUAGGUUCGGAAUAACUCAGGGAAACUUGUGCUAAUACCGAAUGUGCCCUUCGGGGGAAAGAUUUAUCGCCUUUAGAGCGGCCCGCGUCUGAUUAGCUAGUUGGUGAGGUAAUGGCUCACCAAGGCUACGAUCAGUAGCUGGUCUGAGAGGAUGACCAGCCACAUUGGGACUGAGACACGGCCCAAACUCCUACGGGAGGCAGCAGUGGGGAAUCUUGCGAAAUGGGCGAAAGCCUGACGCAGCCAUGCCGCGUGGAUGAUGAAGGUCUUAGGAUUGUAAAAUCCUUUCACCGGUGAAGAUAAUGACUGUAGCCGGAGAAGAAGCCCCGGCUAACUUCGUGCCAGCCGCCGCCGUAAUAC
rnacentral:rRNA from 1 species